rnacentral:rRNA from 1 species
GUGGGGAAUUUUGCGCAAUGGGGGAAACCCUGACGCAGCAACGCCGCGUGGAGGAUGAAGUAUCUUGGUACGUAAACUCCUUUCGAUGGGGAAGAUAAUGACGGUACCCAUAGAAGAAGCCCCGGCUAACUUCGUGCCAGCAGCCGCGGUAAUACGAGGGGGGCAAGCGUUGUUCGGAAUUAUUGGGCGUAAAGGGUGCGUAGGCGGUUCAGCAAGUCUUGUGUGAAAUCUAUGGGCUCAACCCAUAGUCUGCACAGGAAACUACUGGGCUUGAGUAUUGGAGAGGUGAGUGGAAUUUCCGGUGUAGCGGUGAAAUGCGUAGAUAUCGGAAGGAACACCUGUGGCGAAAGCGGCUCACUGGACAAUUACUGACGCUGAUGCACGAAAGCUAGGGGAGCAAACAGG